rnacentral:rRNA from 1 species
UACAGAGGUGGCAAGCGUUGUUCGGAAUUACUGGGCGUAAAGGGCGCGUAGGCGGUUCGUUAAGUCCUGUGUGAAAUCCCCCGGCUCAACUGGGGAACUGCACAGGAAACUAGCGGGCUUGAGUUCGGGAGAGGGAAGCGGAAUUCCGGGUGUAGCGGUGAAAUGCGUAGAUAUCCGGAGGAACACCGGUGGCGAAGGCGGCUUCCUGGACC